rnacentral:rRNA from 1 species
GUGGGGAAUCUUAGACAAUGGGCGCAAGCCUGAUCUAGCCAUGCCGCGUGAGCGAUGAAGGCCUUAGGGUUGUAAAGCUCUUUCAGCGAGGAAGAUAAUGACUGUACUCGCAGAAGAAGCCCCGGCUAACUCCGUGCCAGCAGCCGCGGUAAUACGGAGGGGGCUAGCGUUGUUCGGAAUUACUGGGCGUAAAGCGCACGUAGGCGGACUGGAAAGUCAGGGGUGAAAUCCCGGGGCUCAACCCCGGAACUGCCUUUGAAACUCCCAGUCUUGAGGUCGAGAGAGGUGAGUGGAAUUCCGAGUGUAGAGGUGAAAUUCGUAGAUAUUCGGAGGAACACCAGUGGCGAAGGCGGUUCACUGGCUCGAUACUGACGCUGAGGUGCGAAAGCGUGGGGAGCAAACAGGAUUAGAAACCCCGGUAGUCC